rnacentral:rRNA from 1 species
AACGAACGCUGGCGGCAGGCUUAACACAUGCAAGUCGAACGCCCCGCAAGGGGAGUGGCAGACGGGUGAGUAACGCGUGGGAAUCUACCUAGUUCUACGGAACAACAGUUGGAAACGACUGCUAAUACCGUAUACGCCCUACGGGGGAAAGAUUUAUCGGAAUUAGAUGAGCCCGCGUAAGGUUAGCUAGUUGGUGGGGUAAUGGCCUACCAAGGCGACGAUCUUUAGCUGGUCUGAGAGGAUGAUCAGCCACACUGGGACUGAGACACGGCCCAGACUCCUACGGGAGGCAGCAGUGGGGAAUAUUGGACAAUGGGCGCAAGCCUGAUCCAGCCAUGCCGCGUGAGUGAUGAAGGCCUUAGGGUUGUAAAGCUCUUUCACCGAUGAAGAUAAUGACGGUAGUCGGAGAAGAAGCCCCGGCUAACUUCGUGCCAGCAGCCGCCGUAA